GGAUAUAGUUAGCAAGUCAGAAAACAUUCGAAUGAAAAUGCCAUGAGAGACAAAUUAGUCUGCUGGUUUCUUAAAAAUUUAGCUGUGGAUCCCUUUCUCCAAAUGAAUUCUUAAGGGGCUAUGAGCUUAGUCACUCAGACACGUCCAACUCUUUGCGACCCCCAGGCUCCUCUGUGCAUAGGAUUUUCCAGCCCACAGUGGGCUACCAUUUCCUCCAAAGGAUCUUCCUAACCCUAGGAUUGAACCCGCAUCUGCUGUGUCUCCCAGAUUGCAGGCAGAUUCUUUACCAGGUGAGCCAUCAGGGAAACUCUUAAGGGAUGGCCUAGUAUUUAAACUGUUAAGGUUGGAGCUCGUUGGGUUGCUAUGGGCAUGGGGGCCUGAGACCAGGCAGUGGCACGACAAGGGGAGACGGGAAGCCCCCAGCUGCAGAGAUGAGUGGGGCUUUCGUUGUGGUCUUCAGCACAAGCACCUGUGUUUCGCUGCUCAUCUGUCAGGGAAGGUAAAAGAAACUCAAGGAGGAGGAGAACUGAUUCAAUGGACCAGGGAAUGCAAUUGGGAGGGGGCUGAUGGAAUGCUUCAACUGGCUGAACCUGACCAUACUUCUGCUGGGAACUGCACAUCCUGGAAAAGCACCUGGGCUUGAGCCUGUAAGAACAUAAAUCCGCCACAGGAGAACAAGGUCUCAAACAGGAAUUCCGGGGCCCAGGGCAUGGAAACAGCUUUAUGGAAAGGCUGGCUUUGUGCCAUUACCAAGAGGACAGAGCAACCUUGAGGCCCUUGGACAUGAAACCCCACCCCUGUUGCUCUGUGCCCGGGCUUGCACAUCAGACCUCCCUGGGACACGGUGGCCCUCCAGGUCUGCAACUCCACCAUCUUUCACGAGUCAGCUACAGUGAGAUGAAGAAUGGCCCUCUCAGGUCCUCACUUGUCCUGCCUCUCAUGGGCUUCCCAUUUGGACCCAAGAACAUUGCAAUCAGCUCACCUUGACAGAGGUCUGUUCUGAAUGGUUCUCCUUCCUCCACAAAAUUCCUUGCAGAUUUCUGAAGACAGUCCACUGAAGACUUCACAGUCUGGGAGCCCAGGCCUUGUGGACCAAGACAACUGAACCAGUGCAACCUCCUCCAUGGCUGUCCCUGCUCCGGAGGAUGACUGGCCAGGAGGGCCGUAUGGGUAAAUUGUAAAUGGGACUGAGAAAGCCCUGGGCAUAAUCAGAAGCCUCCACACUGUUACUGCUGCCUCUAGGACUGGCUUAGCACACAGAGGAAAGACAUGCCCUCGGGGACAACAUAGUCACAGCCGGCUGUGUGAAUUACCCAUACCCGGCUCCAACCUCUCCACUUCUUAACAGAAUUGAUACACAGGCAAGGACAGCUAGGAUCAUUGGACACUAAAUCCUGAAGACAACAGCACUGUGACCAUCUUAGGAAAUGAAUAGUGAAAGUGUUGUAACUUCUCACUUUCUUGUGCUCAGUCGCUAAGUUGUGUCCAACUCUUUGCCACCCCAUGGACUGCAGCCCGCCAGGCUCCUCUGUCCAUGGGAUUUUCCAGGCAAGAAUACUGGAGUGGGUUGCCAUUUCCUUCUCCAGGGCCUCCCUUUCUUAAUGGAAGAUAAAAUCUGUGCAUCCCCAUCUAUCUCUCUGGGAGUUAGAACUCAUUUGGCUGUGGCUGCAGUGUUCUCGGAAGGCUGGAAUGCUCUGGAUUCCUCCAUCCACCACUAUGCCAGCACAUGGAUCAGACAAGGGUCCUCUGAAAACAGCAAUGUGCCCCCUACCAUGCAAGGAGCCCCUCUGGUGGACUGAUACAGAUUCAAGCCUAAAUAUCUGAUCAGUUACCGUCUCAAAGCAGAAUUCAGAUCCACCUCAUUUCUAUUAGAUUUUUCAAUUUAUCAAAUACUUAUAGAGUAUUUACUAUGUGCCAGUUCUGUACAUUACAAAUGCUUCAAAAGUAAGUAUGUAGAAGCACUAACUCAUUUAAUCCUCAUACAAAAACCCUACACAUUUUUUAUUGUCGUUUUUGGAUACAUCUUUUCAUCUUGCCAGUCCAGUUCCCACUGACUACUAGGACCAAACUGUGAACCCAGACUAAACAAACAUGUGUGUUCCAGUGCAAUUCCAAGCCACUUUUGAGAAAGGAAUGGCUACCCACUCCAGUAUUCUUGCCUGGAGAAUUCCACGGACAGAGGACCCUGGCAGGCUACUACAGUCCAUGGGGUCACAAAGAGUCGGACACAAC
ensembl:lncRNA